GCUAGGUGUGGUGAUGCACACCUGUAAUCCCAUUGACUCAGGAGGCUGAGGAAGGAGGAUAGCGUGUUUGUGGUAUGGGCAACUUUGUGAGACCCUGUCUCAA
rnacentral:sRNA from 1 species